rnacentral:lncRNA from 1 species
UUCCAGGACAGCCAGGGCUAUACAGAGAAACCCUGUCUCAAAAAACCAAAAAAAAAAAAAAAAAAAAAAAGAAUGUAACGUUAAUUUUGUUUUUCUUUUUAAAGAUUUAUUUUAUGUAUUUGAGUGUUUUACCUGCAUAAGUGCACCAUAUGCAUGGCUAGUACCACAAAAUGUCAGAAGAGGGCAACAGACCCCUGGGUUAGAUAGUUAUAAAACACCAUGUAAGUGCUAGGAAUUGAAUCCAGAUUGUCUGUAUAAACAAGUGGCUCUUAACCACUGAGCCAUCUCUACAUCCUCAUAAAUUUUUUAAAUUUAAAUAAUUUCGGUCCUUUUUUUUUCCUCAUUUCUAUCAAUCUGACACAGUGGUUGCAUUUUGUUGGGCAAUUUUCAUUAGAUCUUUUCCCCACAUGUUAUUUGAGAUCUGGUAAAUAGAUCUUUUUCUUCAAUAUUAGAUUUAUUUGAAUUUAACAGUCUUAUUCUGGGUUACUUUCCAGACUUCCCAGAUUGUAUCAUAGUUGGCACUUUAUUUAUAGCUUGUUCACAGAUAGUUUAAGAAUUCAAACAUGAACUUCUGUUUGUUCAGCUCCUCAAAAUGAACUGAGGCAGAGGAGUUAGUUACUGUUUUCUGAGUUCUUAGCAUGUGACACUAUUCUAGGCUUUGACUUCUUUUGAUUGGUUUUAUUCCCAGAGAAUGCUUAUUAUGAAGGUGUUGAGACUAUAAUAUUUUUAUAAGAAGUAAAUUUUUAAUUCUUUUAUAUCAAAUACAAUUUUUUUAAAGCAUAAAAUAAACACUUCUGUUUAGGUCACUAGUUUAAGUGCAGAUACCAUUGUAUGAAAUGGGAGAUAAGACAAAUGUGGUGACAUACAUCUGUAUAUAAUCCCUUGGGGGGCUAGAACAUGAGGAACAAGUAAAUAAACAAUAUAACCACAUUUUAAAAUAAUUAGGCUCAUCGGAAGACAGUUGUGUAGCUCAGUAGAAUAGCUCCUGUCUACAGAACACAUGCAACAUUGUGUACCAGUUUGGUCCGCAGCAGCACUUUAAUACAGCUAUUCAAUUUAGAUCCAGUUGAUGUAAACGAUGUAAAAGUCACACUCUGAUUGCUGUACACAUGUCUUAAGUCUAGUCUGCAGAUCCUGUGCUUAAUCUUUCUUUAGAUGGACACUUGUCUGCCAAGGAUACUUAGGAGAAAUGCCAUUCUAAGCCAUAAUGAUUUAUCUGUGCUGUCCAUAUGGUUAUCCCUCAUACUUGAUGCCUUAAACAUUUUGUGUUUUUGCCUAAAAAUAACCCCAUAUCUUAGUGCAUUCUUGUCCCCUCUUCCCUGUAUUUUAAGCUGAGGGGGAAUGUCUUACUGUGUUGUAUAGGCUCUAUAAAGGCUGGUCUCAAACUUUUGGGAUCUGGUGACUAGCCUCUUAAGAACUGGGACUACAGAUAUGCCCAGGUUAACUCACAUAUUCCUUUCCUUAAAAAAGGGGGAUCCCAGCACUUGGGAGGCAGAGGCAGGCAGAUUUCUGAGUUCGAGACCAGCCUGGUCUACAAAGUGAGUUCAGGUACAGCCAGGGCUAUACAGAGAAACCCUGUCUCGGAAAAAAACAAUAAUAAUAAUAAUAAAGGGGGAAGGUGUAAUGUUCAUUUAAUUUUAUUAUGCCAUCUUCAUAUUUGCAUACCAUGUGUUUUGAUGAUAUUCACCAGUCCAUACCACCUUCACUUGUCUCCUUCCAUUCGUCCUCUUCUUCUAAUUGUCCCCCCUUU